GACGAACGCUGGCGGCGUGCUUAACACAUGCAAGUCGAACGGAAAGGCCCUGCUUUUGUGGGGUGCUCGAGUGGCGAAGGGGUGAGUAACACGUGAGUAACCUGCGCUGGAGUUUGGGAUAACUUCAGGAAAGUGGGGCUAAUACCGGAUAGGAGCGCCUGCUGCAUGGUGGGGGUUGGAAAGUUUCGGCGGUUGGGGAUGGACUCGCGGGUUAUCAGCUUGUUGGUGGGGUAGUGGCUUACGAAGGCUUUGACGGGUAGCCGGCCUGAGAGGGUGACCGGCCACAUUGGGACUGAGAUACGGCCCAGACUCCUACGGGAGGCAGCAGUGGGGAAUAUUGCACAAUGGGCGGAAGCCUGAUGCAGCAACGCCGCGUGCGGGAUGACGGCCUUCGGGUUGUAAACCGCUUUCGCCUGUGACGAAGCGUGAGUGACGGUAAUGGGUAAAGAAGCACCGGCUAACUACGUG
rnacentral:rRNA from 1 species